CUGUUAAUCUCUCUGCUCACCUGUGGGCUCUCUAAUCUCGGGAGCAGUAGAGUUCACUCCACAUCCUCUACAGACAGAUGCUUCUCCCACAGAUCCCACAAGAGCAGUUUGUUUUCAGUUUGUUUAGCUCUUUAUUUGUUAGGACAGAGUAAUGACCUCCAAGAUUCUUACGUGUGGAACUGAAAGUGAAAUCCUUCUACACUUAGAUGUGGUGACGGAGGCAAAGAAAAUCUGCACAACGUGCCCAAAGCUACACAGCUGCCGAACCAGGAUUUUAACAAAUAGCAAACUAUGAAGAGCCAUCCUAAUCUGGACUGAAAAUUAAUGUUCAUGAAGUCAAAGAAUGUCACGGAAGUGUUCGCCUGUGUGACAGCAGUGCCUGGCACAGAGGAG